rnacentral:rRNA from 1 species
UACGUAGGGUGCGAGCGUUAAUCGGAAUUACUGGGCGUAAAGCGUGCGCAGGCGGUUGGUCGAGUCUGCUGUGAAAGCCCCGGGCUUAACCUGGGAACGGCAUUGGAGACUGGUCGGCUAGAGUGCGGCAGAGGGGGGUAGAAUUCCACGUGUAGCAGUGAAAUGCGUAGAGAUGUGGAGGAAUACCGAUGGCGAAGGCAGCCCCCUGGGAUGACACUGACGCUCAUGCACGAAAGCGUGGGGAGCAAACAGG